GAUGAACGCUGGCGGCGUGCCUAAUACAUGCAAGUCGAGCGUACAGACGAGGAGCUUGCUCCUCUGACGUUAGCGGCGGACGGGUGAGUAACACGUGGAUAACCUACCUAUAAGACUGGGAUAACUUCGGGAAACCGGAGCUAAUACCGGAUAAUAUAUUGAACCGCAUGGUUCAAUAGUGAAAGACGGUUUUGCUGUCACUUAUAGAUGGAUCCGCGCCGCAUUAGCUAGUUGGUAAGGUAACGGCUUACCAAGGCAACGAUGCGUAGCCGACCUGAGAGGGUGAUCGGCCACACUGGAACUGAGACACGGUCCAGACUCCUACGGGAGGCAGCAGUAGGGAAUCUUCCGCAAUGGGCGGAAGCCUGACGGAGCAACGCCGCGUGAGUGAUGAAGGUCUUCGGAUCGUAAAACUCUGUUAUUAGGGAAGAACAAAUGUGUAAGUAACUAUGCACGUCUUGACGGUACCUAAUCAGAAAGCCACGGCUAACUACGUG
rnacentral:rRNA from 1 species